UACAGAGGUCCCAAGCGUUGUUCGGAUUUACUGGGCGUAAAGGGCGCGUAGGCGGCGCGGUAAGUCACUUGUGAAAUCUCUGAGCUUAACUCAGAACGGCCAAGUGAUACUGCAGUGCUAGAGUGUGGAAGGGGCAAUCGGAAUUCUUGGUGUAGCGGUUGAAAUGCGUAGAUAUCAAGAGGAACACCUGAGGUGAAGACGGGUUGCUGGGCCAAACACUGACGUGGAGGCGCGAAAGCCAGGGGAGCAAAACAGGA
rnacentral:rRNA from 1 species